rnacentral:rRNA from 1 species
UACGUAGGGGGGCGAGCGUUGUCCGGAAUUAUUGGGCGUAAAGAGCUCGUAGGCGGUUUGUCGCGUCUGCCGUGAAAAGUCCGGGGCUCAACUCCGGAUCUGCGGUGGGUACGGGCAGACUAGAGUGAUGUAGGGGGAGACUGGAAUUCCUGGUGUAGCGGUGGAAUGCGCAGAUAUCAGGAGGAACACCGGUGGCGAAGGCGGGUCUCUGGGCAGUAACUGACGCUGAGGAGCGAAAGCGUGGGGAGCAAACAGG